UCAAACGUUUAAAAAAGAUAAGUAUAAGAAAAUGAAAUUUAAAAGAAAACUCAAAAAAACACUAUAGAUAGUCGUGCUUGCUGCUUGUUAAUUUCAGGAAGUACUCCUUAUUGCCAAUCUUUCUCCGCAAACAACUAAAACAGAACAGAUCAUCCGUUUCUUUGAAGAUGUUGGAAGUGUUGUUUCUGUUCGCCUUAUUGUAGACCACGAGUGUAAGCAUGUGGGCUAUGGCUUUGUUGAAUUUGAUUCUUCUUACGAAGCAGAGAAGGCUCUGAAAGAGAUGAAUGGUGAAUA